rnacentral:rRNA from 1 species
UAAUACAGAGGGUGCGAGCGUUAAUCGGAAUUACUGGGCGUAAAGGGUGCGUAGGCGGUUUAGUGGGUGUGAUGUGAAAGCCCUGGGCUUAACCUAGGAAGCGCAUCGCAAACUACUGAACUGGAGUAGAUGAGAGGGUGGCGGAAUUUCCGGUGUAGCGGUGAAAUGCGUAGAGAUCGGAAGGAACGUCAAUGGCGAAGGCAGCCACCUGGCAUCAUACUGACGCUGAGGCACGAAAGCGUGGGGAGCGAACAGGAUUAGAUACCCUGGUAGUCCACGCUGUAAACGAUGAGGACUAGAUGUUGGUGGGGGAACCCAUCAGUAUCGAAGCUAACGCGAUAAGUCUUCCGCCUGGGAAGUACGGCCGCAAGGUUG